AGAAGAGGAAAAUAUGAAAUUAAUAUAUUCAAAGCAAUGGUCAUCUACAAAAUAAACUCCUGUUCAUAAAAUCACAUCAGUGAAAUGAAAAAUAUUUGUGAGCAUAGUUGUUGUUGUUGCUAGGUGCUAUCGAGUUGGUUCCGACUCAUAGCGAGUUUAUUCACAACAGAACAAAACACUGCCCAGUCCUGCUCCAUCCUCACAGUUGUUGUUAUGUUUGAGCCCAUUGUUUCAGCCACUGGCACAGUGAUGACAUAAUCCAUCUUGCCCAGGGUGUUCCUCUUUUUCGCAGACCAUCUACUUUACCAAGUAUUAUGUUCUUCUCCAGGGACUGGUCCCUCCUAAUAACGUGUCCAAAUCAUGUGAGAUGAAGUCUCGCCAUACUCACCUCUAAAGAUCAUUCUGGCUGUACUUCUUCCAAGACAAAUUUCCUUGUUCUUCUGGCAGUCUAUGGCAGGAAACAGGCCAAAGGAGCUAUGCUGGUUUUUCUCAAGGAAAAGAAAAGAACCAUCCCUGGAGCAACCUGGAGAUCAGCAGAACUGUGGGAAGGAGCACAGGGAGCAGAGUUGCCUUGGUUUCAAAUGUGUGCCUAGAAGGCAGAGCUGAAGCCCAAAGCUGAGGGGCCUCCACCCAGAAUCCAGAGAGCCUGUCCAACACCCAGAGUCUGGAGGGCAGGACCCGGGCCCAGAUGGUUCCAAAGAACAUAGGAUUAUUUUCAAGCCUUGAGAGCUAAGUAAAUUGUUCUGCUGGAUUUUGGACUUGCUCGGUGCCCAUUAUUCCUUCUUUCCCUCCAAUUUCUCCCACUCGUAAUGGAAAUGUCUACCUUGUGCCUGUUCCACCACUGUACUCUGGAAACAGAUAACUUGUAUUCUAGAUUUCACAGGUUCACAGAUGAAGAGGAGUUUUGCCCUAGGAUGGAAUAGGCCUAAAGUCUUAACCAUAUUGGAUUUGGAUGAUUCAGAAGAUGAGACUUCGGACUUCAAGUUGAUUUAAGACUUUUAAUGUGAUGGGGUGAAUACGUUUUGCCUGUGGGAAGCACAUGAAUUUGGGGGUGGGCAAAGGGUGGAAUGUUAUGGAUUCAACUGCAUCCCUCAAAAAUGUGUUAUAGAUCCUAACCUCUAUGCCUGUGGUUAUAAUCCCAUUUGGGAAUGGGUUUUCUUUGUUACGUUAAUAAGACAGGAUUAAUAUAGGGUUAUUUCUUAAAUCAAUCUCUUUUGAGAUAUAAAAGGGAUCAAACAAGCAAGGGAAAGAAAAGCAUAUGGGGGAAGAGAUAUGCCAAGCCACAUGAUGACUGCCCAGAAGCAGAAGUUCAGAAGAGACAAGAACCUUCCUCCAAAGCCCACAGAGAGAGGGAGCUUUCCCCUACAGCCAGCACCCUGAAAUCAGAUUUUAGCCUCCUAAACUGUAAGGAAAUCAAUUUCUGUUUGUUAAAGCCAUCCACUUGUAGUAUUUCUGUUACAGAAGCUCUAGGUAACUAAAGGAGCCCUGGUGGUGCAGUGGUUAAGAGCUACGGUGAGCUAUGGCUACUAAACAAAAUGUCAGCAGUUUGAACCUACCAGCCAUUCCUUGGAAACCCUAUGGGGCAAUUCUACUCUGUCCUGUAGGGUCUCUAUGAGACAGAAUCUACUUGACGGCAGUGGGUUUGGUUUUUAGAUAACUAAAACAAUGUACAAUUAUAAAGAGCCAGUUUCUACAUCUGGUUGGUCAACCUCCAGUUCCUCUAGGGCUAGUAAUUCAAGCUUCUUUUUCAAUUUUUCCCUUCUUCCAUUUUGCAUUGGAUUUUCUUCUUACUGUAGAUGUAGGGCAAAGACAUGAUUAAAAUGGAAAUGGGCAUAAAAUGAAAACAAACCUUUUCCCUCUCACCCCAAGUUUCCUAUUCUUUCCCCGAGAUAGUUACUAUCUUUAUCAAAUUUCUUAUUUAUCUUCAUAGAAAGGUUCUGAGCAUAUUUUUUCACACAAAUAAGGUUGUACUAUAAUACUCCUAUACACCUCACUUUUUCAUUUAACACAAUAACAUAUUGCAUUACAUAACACAUAGAACUACUUUGUCAGUUUUAAUGGCUGCAUAAUAACCCUUUGCAUAGGUGUAGCUUCCACACUUUAAGGAGUUCCCCUACUGAAGAUCAUUUACUUGUGAUUCCUUGUGAUUUAUAGAAAUAACAAUGUUUUAUACGUUUUGCAUGUACAUUUUGUCAUGCUUCAAGUACAUGUGUAGGACAAUUUUCUAGAAAUGCAAGUAUUAGGUAAAAAGUGUAUGUAUUUUGAAUUUGAAUAGAUUGUUGUUGGUAGGUGCCGCUGAGUCAGUUCCGACUCAUCGUGACCCUGUGUACAACAGAACGAAACACUGCCCAGUCCUGUGCCAUCCUCACAAUCUCACAAUAGUUGUUAUGCUUCAGCCCAUCGUUGCAGAGAUUGAAUAGAUAGUUGUUCAACUGCUCUCCCGCUCCCCAGGAGUUUACACCAGAUCACCCUCCACGUAACAGUGUAUGAGAGUAUCUGUUUUCCUGCGACCUCUAACAUAUGUAUUAUGCACAUGUUAAAUUUCAUCAAUCGGAUAAGUAAAAAGUACUAUCACUUUUUUAUUUUAAUUUUUAUUUUGUAAAUUAUGAGUGAAACUGAGCAUUUCUUCAUGUAUUUUUUAGCCAUCUUUUUCUUACGAACUAUCUGUCAGACUCUUUGCUCAUUGUAUCAUUUUUUAAUGAACAUUUAAGUGUUCUUCCUAUAUUUAAGAUAAUUAGCUCGGUGUCUGUUAUAUGUGAUGCAGCAUUAUAAUUAAAGAGAAAAUAUUUGUCACUAAUUACACAUUCAUACCUAUAUAUCAUUUAUGUACUUGUUCUACAUAUGUAACUUAAAAGAGAAAAAUAUAAUUCAAAAAUUUAAGACGGAUUUUAUAGUUGUAGUAAAAGUC